rnacentral:rRNA from 1 species
GAUGAACGCUGGCGGCGUGCCUAAUACAUGCGAGUCGAGCGAACAGAUGAGGAGCUUGCUCCUCUGACGUUAGCGGCGGACGGGUGAGUAACACGUGGAUAACCUACCUAUAAGACUGGGAUAACUUCGGGAAACCGGAGCUAAUACCGGAUAAUAUAUUGAACCGCAUGGUUCAAUAGUGAAAGACGGUUUUGCUGUCACUUAUAGAUGGAUCCGCGCCGCAUUAGCUAGUUGGUAAGGUAACGGCUUACCAAGGCAACGAUGCGUAGCCGACCUGAGAGGGUGAUCGGCCACACUGGAACUGAGACACGGUCCAGACUCCUACGGGAGGCAGCAGUAGGGAAUCUUCCGCAAUGGGCGAAAGCCUGACGGAGCAACGCCGCGUGAGUGAUGAAGGUCUUCGGAUCGUAAAACUCCGUUAUUAGGGAAGAACAAAUGUGUAAGUAACUAUGCACGUCUUGACGGUACCUAAUCAGAAAGCCACGGCUAACUACGUG